UACGUAGGGGGCAAGCGUUGUCCGGAUUUACUGGGCGUAAAGCGCGCGUAGGUGGAACGUUAAGUCCGGUCUGAAAGCCCCCGGCUCAACCGGGGAGGGUGGCUGGAAACUGGCGUUCUUGAGGGCGAGAGAGGAGGGUGGAAUUCCUGGUGUAGCGGUGAAAUGCGUAGAGAUCGGGAAGAAGGCCGGUGGCGAAGGCGGCUCUCUGGAACGUUCCUGACACUGAGGCACGAAAGCGUGGGGAGCAAACAGG
rnacentral:rRNA from 1 species